rnacentral:rRNA from 1 species
UACGUAGGUGGCGAGCGUUGUCCGGAUUUACUGGGAGUAAAGCGCGCGCAGGCGGCAGUCUAAGUCCUCUGUGAAAUCACCCGGCUCAACUGGGUGGCUGCGGAGGAGACUGGGCAGCUUGAGGUGCCUAGAGGCCGGUGGAACUCCCGGUGUAGUGGUGAAAUGCGUAGAGAUCGGGAAGAACACCAGUGGCGAAGGCGGCCGGCUGGGGGCGCCCUGACGCUGAGGCGCGAGAGCGUGGGGAGCAAACCGG